CCCCGACCAGGGAUCGAACCCGCAACCUUUUGGUGUCCAGGACGGUGCUCCAAUCAGCUGAGCCACCCGACCAGGACCUGGCCUAUCAUUUCAGUACAACUGACUGGUGGCACACGAUUUGAAGUUGUCGAAGAAGUGUUAAUGAUGCUGGUGAUACGCCACCACCCCGGGAGAACUUGGAAAGGCACUUUGCUGGGGAAGAAGUACAAACCACUUCCACGCCCGGAAUGCUCUGUGGAAGGUGCGGCUGCCUGGAGAGGCAGGCGGAAGAAAAUUCAGGUGUGUUGUUUACAACGUUAGCAAAGCCUGUUCCUUGAUCUGCUUUGGAAAUGGAAAUUACGGGCUCAGGGGCUCCAGGCUCCAGCCCUCUCACCACUCUGCAAUGACGGUCUCAUCCAUCUUCCCAGCCUAGGAAGAACCGGGGAGCCUCCCAACAGAUUGGAGCUCCUGGGGGGGAAGGUCCCCAACAAACCCCCCUCUCCAGCUCCUGCAGCUUGAACGCCUGAUCUACACAAUUAGCACCUUAUAAUACCCUGUCCUGUUCCCCACUGUCUGCACAGAAGGAUUUAGAGCUUUAUUAGAUCAGCACAUAUGCAGUUAUAUGUAAUGCUCUCCUGCUCCUGGCUCAUGGAUGAUGUCUUGUCUCACCCAGGAAACACGGGCAG